UCAGAAAAAGGAGGCUGCCACAGACAGUGAAUCUGGGGAGUCAUCAGAAGACAGUGUUCAGAAAAAAAUUGAUUAUUCGUUUAAGAAAGAAGUUGAAGAGGGACCUUCAAAACAUCUGCAGCAGGAAGCAGAAGUGAAAACACAAUUUCCAGUAUUGUUUUAAUAGAUUAAAGAGAUUUUCA